rnacentral:hammerhead_ribozyme from 1 species
AUCCAGCUGAAGAGUCCCACAUAGGACGAAACGAGUUGAUGUUCACUCUGGGAU